rnacentral:rRNA from 1 species
UACGGGGGGGGGCAAGCGUUGUUCGGAAUUACUGGGCGUAAAGGGCUCGUAGGCGGCCAACUAAGUCAUACGUGAAAUCCCUCGGCUUAACCGGGGAACUGCGUCUGAUACUGGAUGGCUUGAGUUCGGGAGAGGGAUGCGGAAUUCCAGGUGUAGCGGUGAAAUGCGUAGAUAUCUGGAGGAACACCGGUGGCGAAGGCGGCAUCCUGGACCGAUACUGACGCUGAGGAGCGAAAGCCAGGGGAGUAAACGGG